GGACUACUGGGGUAUCUAAUCCUGUUUGAUCCCCACGCUGUCGCACCUCAGCGUCAGUACCGAGCCAGUGAGCCGCCUUCGCCACUGGUGUUCUUUCCAAUAUCUACGAAUUUCACCUCUACACUGGAAAUUCCACUCACCUCUCUCGGACUCGAGCCUUCCAGUCUUGGGGGCAGUUCCUGGGUUAAGCCCAGGGAUUUCACCGCCAACUUGGAAAGCCGCCUACGUGCGCUUUACGCCCAGUAAUUCCGAACAACGCUAGCCCCCUUCGUAUUACCGCGGCUGCUGGCAC
rnacentral:rRNA from 1 species